rnacentral:rRNA from 1 species
CGGACGGCUCAGUAACACGUGGCUAACCUACCCUCGGGUGGGGGAUAACCUCGGGAAACUGAGGAUAAUACCCCAUAGGAGAAGAGGUCUGGAAUGAUCCUUCUCUGAAAACAUAUGUGCCCGAGGAUGGGGCUGCGUCUGAUUAGGUAGUUGGUGGGGUAACGGCCCACCAAGCCUACGAUCAGUACGGGCCUUGAGAGAGGCAGCCCGGAGAUGGGGACUGAGACACGGCCCCAGGCCCUACGGGGCGCAGCAGGCGCGAAACCUUCGCAAUGCACGAAAGUGCGACGGGGGGACCCCAAGUGCUUACGCACUGCGUAGGCUUUUCUAAAGUGUAAAAAGCUUUAGGAAUAAGGGCUGGGCAAGUCCGGUGCCAGCAGCCGCGGUAACACCGGCGGCCCGAGUGGUGACCACUUUUAUUGGGCCUAAAGCGUCCGUAGCCGGUCCAGUAAGUCCCUGUUUAAAUCCUACGGCUUAACCGUAGGGCUGGCAGGGAUACUGCUGGACUUGGGACCGGGAGAGGGCGAGGGUACUUCAGGGGUAGCGGUGAAAUGUGUUGAUCCCUGGAGGACCACCUAUGGCGAAGGCACUCGCCUGGAA